UACGUAGGGUGCAGGCGUUAAUCGGAAUUACUGGGCGUAAAGCGUGCGCAGGCGGUCUUUUAAGUCAGAUGUGAAAUCCCCGGGCUUAACCUGGGAACUGCGUUUGAAACUGGAAGGCUAGAGUGUGGCAGAGGGGGGUGGAAUUCCACGUGUAGCAGUGAAAUGCGUAGAGAUGUGGAGGAACACCGAUGGCGAAGGCAGCCCCCUGGGUCAAGAUUGACGCUCAUGCACGAAAGCGUGGGGAGCAAACAGG
rnacentral:rRNA from 1 species